UACGGAGGGGGCUAGCGUUGUUCGGAAUUACUGGGCGUAAAGCGCACGUAGGCGGCUUUGUAAGUCAGCGGUGAAAUCUCCGGGCUCAACCCGGAAACUGCCAUUGAUACUAUAGGUCUUGAAUGUUGUUGAGGUGGGCGGAACGGGUCAUGUAGCGGUGAAAUGCAUAGAUAUGACCCGGAACACCGAUUGCGAAGGCAGCCCACUAAGCAACGAUUGACGCUGAGGCACGAAAGCGUGGGGAUCAAACAGG
rnacentral:rRNA from 1 species